rnacentral:rRNA from 1 species
GCGGUAAGGCCCUUUCGGGGGUACACGAGCGGCGAACGGGUGAGUAACACGUGAGUAAUCUGCCCUUCACUUCGGGAUAAGCCUCGGAAACGGGGUCUAAUACCGGAUACGACACUUUUACGCAUGUAAUGGGUGUGGAAAGUUUUUUCGGUGGGGGAUGUGCUCGCGGCCUAUCAGCUUGUUGGUGGGGUAAUGGCCUACCAAGGCUUCGACGGGUAGCCGGCCUGAGAGGGUGACCGGCCACACUGGGACUGAGACACGGCCCAGACUCCUACGGGAGGCAGCAGUGGGGAAUAUUGGACAAUGGGCGGAACCCUGAUCCAGCAACCCGCGUGAGGGAUGACGGCCUUCGGGUUGUAAACCUCUUUCAGCGGGGACGAAGCGCAAGUGACGGUACCCGCAGAAGAAGCACCGCCCAACUACGUGCCAGCACCCGCGGUAAUACGUAGGGUGCGAGCGUUGUCCGGAAUUAUUGGGCGUAAAGGGCUCGUAGGCGGUUUGUCGCGUCGGGAGUGAAAACGCCGGGCUUAACUCGGUGCUUGCUUUCGAUACGGGCAGACUAGAGGCAUGCAGGGGAGAACGGAAUUCCUGGUGUAGCGGUGAAAUGCGCAGAUAUCAGGAGGAACACCGGUGGCGAAGGCGGUUCUCUGGGCAUGUCCUGACGCUGAGGAGCGAAAGUGUGGGGAGCGAACAGGAUUAGAUACCCUGGUAGUCCACACCGUAAACGUUGGGCGCUAGGUGUGGGAUCCAUUCCACGGGUUCCGUGCCG